rnacentral:rRNA from 1 species
AUUGAACGCUGGCGGCGGGCCUAACACAUGCAAGUCGAACGAGUGGCGGACGGGUGAGUAAUGUCUGGGAAACUGCGUGAUGGAGGGGGAUAACUACUGGAAACGGUAGCUAAUAACGCAUAACAUCAGAUGCGCACGGAUGGGAUUAGCUAGUUGGUGGGGUAACGGCUCACAAAGGCGACGAUCCCUAGCUGGGUUGAGAGGAUGACCAGCCACACUGGAACUGAGACACGGGCCAGACUCCUACGGGAGGCAGCAGUGGGGAAUAUUGCACAAUGGGCGCAAGCCUGAUGCAGCCAUGCCGCGUGUAUGAAGAAGGUCUUCGGGUUGUAAAGUACUUUCGGCGGUGAGGCGUUACUCGCAGAAGAAGCACCGGCUAACUCCGUGCCAGCAGCCGCGGUAAUUC